UCUGGGUCGCAUGGCUACAUCCGUUGCUCGCAUCCUCGUCUGAUUAUAAUUGGAUUUGGCUUGUGAGUCGGUGUCGUGGUUGUGCAGCCUUUCUGCCGUGUCUUGGUAUAGGUGUUGGCUAUAUCGGUGGGUACGCCUUUCUGUUUAGUCAGCAUGCCUCUUGAUGCCUUUAAACGGGUGUCUGGGGCGGACGGCACGUUUACUUUGAACAAAUUUGAGUGCUCAAAGCAGGCCAUUGAGCCUGAAAAUUCUUGCAUGGAAUAAUGAAAUAGGACUUCGGUUCUAUUUUGUUGGUUUUCGGAUCCGAAGUAAUGG
rnacentral:rRNA from 1 species